ACACUGUCCCCUUAGCAUAAAAGCAAAUUUCAGCCAUUUCACGCGGGAGAGUAGAUUUUCUCUCAAUUUUCUCAGCUUUCUGCACUUUUUCUUUCAUUCUUUUCUUAUCUUUGAUGCAUCCCGAUGCAAUUCCUUGAUCGAAUCUUGAAGGAGAUGCUACAUUAAGGCAGGCAACUCAAAGAAAAGAAGGACAAGAGAUAAGAAAAUUAAUAAACUUAGAAGUACAUUAUUCAAACUAAUCUCUCUUGUUCAAGUUUUGGCUACAAAGCAAUUGCAAAAGCUUGAGACAUAUCGAGUUUGUUUGCUUCAAGGUUAUUCAUCCGAAGCAUGUCUUCAACUUUCGCGUAGUCCUGUGCGUGAUACCUAUUCCCAUUAGAAGAUGUCUAGUCCAAGCUUGAUGUCGAUAUAUUAUCCUUCUGCUAGUUUAGGUAAGUCAUUAGAAGAGUUGGUUAUGGAGAUUAUUAACAACUCUUAUGAGUUUUCUCAAGAAAUCCAUAGGCAACGAGAAUCCUUGUUGCAACUACCUUUUAAUCGUACCGAGCUGAGCAGUGGAGUGACUGGCAUCGACCACCAUGUUGAGCAUCUGAUUCCUCAGAUUUCAGGUCAAGGUAUGACGUUGGAUUCCCUAAUAUAUGAACUUGCUAACAAUUCUUCUUAGUGUGAGCAGGAGUUUAUUGAGUCUCACUUGGAAAUUUAAACCCCCAUGCUAGUUGAGGUAGAUCAUGUUCCUUAUCUUGCGAAUUCUAUGCCCCCACUGGAAAGCAAAUUUGAGCUUCACAAAGUCUAUACUACUGAGGCCGAGUUCAUUAAGGAAUUUUAUCCUUUGACUAGUGAUGAUGAAGAUGUUUAUCCCCGCCAUACCAAGAGCAAGUGUGUGAGGUUGAGUAUGAGUUAGAGCUUAAUCUCAAGGAGCCUCAGGUGAAAAAGUUAUAGGCUACCAAGCCUCUUCAUGUUCUUCCCUUCGACAUUUCCUUUAUCUUUGAAUAUUAUUCAUCAUUCCCUCAUGAGCCCGAGUCUUUAUUUUUUGCAGAGUCAGUCCACGAUUCUUUUCUUUUGUUUCCUACUUUUAUUAAUCUAAAAAUGCCAAAAGACCUAUUUGGUGCCUUUUAAAUGUAGGAGCUCUUGUUAGGCUUUAAAGGCUUUAUCAACUGAAGAAAGAAUAUGGUCGAGCAAGCAACCUUAAAAAUUUCUCUACCUAGAGGCAACCAGGAUUUUAAAUUUACUUGCUUUUCUAGUUUAGUUGUUUUCUUUUGCUUUUAUAGCUUAGCUUAGUUUUUAAUAAUAUAAUAAUUAAGAGAAUUUUUUAAUCUCUUUCUUUGAGAUGAUCUUGCAAUGAAAUGAAAAGAAGAGAAAAAAAUUGCAUAUCAUCCUGCACACGUCCAAAGAUCAGGGGAGUUUUUCUAUUCCCCUUUAUAUUUUGUCCUUGUGCUUUUCUCUGUUCUAUAACAUUGAGGAUAAUGUUUGCUUUUAAAGUUGGGGGUGUGUUUGAUGCACUAUUUCUUUAUGCAUGAAUUUUGUCUAUGUUUUUACUUGAUGUUGAAUUUUUUUUAAUUUAUGAUGAUGAUAUAUAUGCAUAUCUGGAACCCUUGAGCAUCUAAGAUCGGGUUUGUGAUUUGACAUACUUUAUGGUUCUAAUGUUUUGAUAAAUUUUUUGUUCAAUGCAGUUAACAUGAACUAUGCUACAAUGACUCUGCGCUGAACUUACUAUGCACCGAGUUGUAGUUAAUCAUGCACUGAUCACAAGUUUUCUUAUAGUUUGUCAAGUAUAAAGAAAUUAAAAGUUUCUCGGUGUGAGUCGAGGUUGAACUUAGGGAUUUGUAACUACGAAUGUUUGCAAAGUAACAUGUAUGCGGCAAGGACUAAAGUAAUUGUAGUAGAGUAAUAAAUCAUGCGAUUAAAGAAACUAUGUGAUGAAAUUAUAUAAACAGGCGGUGAACACUUCGAGUUUAAUUAUGAGAAAACUUAGAUAGAUAACAACUUUAGGGUGUUUAAAGUAAAUGUAUGGAGAAACAAGGUUAGGGGGAAAUCUAUGCCUAGUUCCUAAGUUUAGCUUCAAGGAUAAUUCAGGCUCGCAACAUUCGUUCAUCGCACACAUCUCAAUGGCCAACCACAUUUGUCACAUCUUUAUGACACAUGAAUGAUGUUGUAUUGAGCAUAGGGUGUUUCUAUCUCUGGAAACUCUUCUUAUUUUGCUUAGUGAGAUCCAUAACUACUUACCCUCUCGGGCAGGUGGUUAUAGUUACUUGGCUCAAUGAGUGAUCAUAGGCAAACAUUUAAAUAGUCGUACACUAAGCAAAUAGGAUUAACUCUUAAAGACUCAACUUAGCUCAUAACAUUAAACUCCCCCUUACCCCAUUGAGAUUAGUUACUCAUGAUAACUGAAAAAGCGAUAGUAAAGAGAGAGAAGAUAAUGAAAGUAGAUAUGGUGAUAUAUAGAUAGAAAUGGACUUGUUUACAAAAAUGAAUAAUCUCUUACUCUUAAAUGCAAUACAAUAGUAAAAGACAAGAAUAUAGUAAAUGAAAAGGUAGUUUUCAACAAUUUCUUACUUCCAACAGAUGUAAUGUCAAGGCUGUUGGUGACAAAAUGGUAGUAUAGAAUGGAGAAGACCCUCUCAAGCUCUUGCUUCAGUGAAGUUUUGAUGAUAAGUUAGGGUGGAGUUUGGAAGUGGAAGUUCUCAUAAAUACUCUCUAUUUCACUCUUGGCUUGUGGUGCAAGAAUCGUGCCUAAGGGUGUUCUCAGGUGAAAAUAUUAGCACUGCUAUCAGGUUAACAUUAUGAAGUUUAUGGCAGAAGAUCUGCUAGAACUGCAUUAGAGAUUCCAAGGGAUGGGAUCAAAUAUUUGAUCAUCAGGACUAUUAAGGCUAUCCUACUAGAAGCUCAAGGACUUCGAUUCCCUAUGGAUUUCCUGCGAAAACUCAUAAAAGUUAUAAGAAAGAUUCAUAACCAAUUCCUCUAAAGAUUUAUCUGAGCUGGGAGAGGAAGUAUGUAUCAACGUCGAGACUGGGCUAAGAAACUCCCAAGGGGGAUAGGUAUCUUGCAUAGGGUCACGUGAAACCUGAUGACAUGCUUCAGUUGGAUAACCUUGAAGCGGACA